rnacentral:rRNA from 1 species
GGGUCAGUAGGUUGGUCGUGCCACCGGUACGUACUGGUCUCACUGAUUCCUCCUUCCUGAAGAACCGUAAUGCCAUUAAUUUGGUGGUGCGGGGAAACAGGACUGUUACUUUGAAAAAAUUAGAGUGUUUAAAGCAAGCUAACGCUUGAAUACAUUAGCAUGGGAUAAUGAAAUAGGACGAUCGAUCCUAUUUUGUUGGUUUCUAGGAUUGACGUA